UGCCUGUUUGUCCUUCAGUGAGUGUUUGAAUCAGACUGAUGUUCAGUGUUAAAACUCCUGAAUGUAUAUUUAAUAUGUGUGAACAUGACGCAUCAAAGAGAAACACAGAGAGGCUGGUGAAGGAAGAGAAGAAAAGACAGAGGACCGCCCCGGGGCUCGAUCCGGUGGUCUAUCGGCUCCCGCGGUGCACUGGGGGCGGGUGCGGCGCGCGGAGUGGAUGAGAGGCGGAUCGCAGCCCGCUGAGCUACAGCUCUGCCACCGGGAGGGGAAGCAGCGUCCAGAUAUGAAGCUGAACAGAAAGAUCAUCAGCAGAGCAAAGCAUCACUUUAUAUAUAUAUAUAUAUAUAUACAUACAUACAUACAUGUUGUGUAAUUCCACAUACAAUGUAGUUUCACACAGUUUUAUGAAUGUUGCUGCUGUUAAACUUCUUCUAUCUCAGACUUCUGUAACUUUUGUUCUUUUACUUCCUUAUUGUGAAACCUGGAGGAAGAAGAGGCGGAACCUUUGUGUUUCUGACCGUCUCCUCCUCAGAUUGUGACUGACAGGGAAUUGAACCAGUGACUGAAGCCUCUGCUGUGUGCAGGUGGAACAGCAGCUGGACUGAAGCUGAACAUGAAGCUCAGUCUGUGUGAAACAGGACAUAUAAAGGAGUUGUGAUUUUGAUUCUGGUUCUGAGUCCAUCACGAUCCAUGGGAACUGCAUGAGAAGGUGGCGCCUUCUUGACGCUGUCCUCCCAGGUUUGACAACUCCCAUCUCCCAUUGUCUGAGAGCGCACCUGAAAGCAUCGUCAGUUGCAAUGACCAGAUGAACGCUUGUGUCCCCGUUACUAUGGUUACAACGCAGUCCCAGAGUGACGUGUUGCUGGAAGCAUCAACCAUUACUCACCUGUGUCCGAUACAGUCCAUUAUAUUUAACCCGUGCAGAGGACUCUGCUGAGGGACCUGUGGUGAUGUCAUGUCAUUAGAACACUUAUACAUGGUGAAUGUAAAGUUAGUUAAUACUUAUUUCACUGUUAACAAUAAAUGAAAUGCUUUAUAAACCA